UCCCGCACAUUUGACCUGAGUUGAAAUAGAGCUUUGCUCGUGAACCAAAUUGGGUAGGCUGGACUGUCUGGGUGGAAAUGCCUGGGCGGAUUGUCUACGAAUUGCAAUCAUAAUAUGGGCGGGGGUGAAUCCUUUGCAGACGACUUGAAUGGGAACAGGGUACUGUAAGCGGUAGAGUAGCCUUGUUGCUACGAUCCGCUGAGGUUAAGCCCGUGUUCUAAAGAUUGGU
rnacentral:rRNA from 1 species